rnacentral:rRNA from 1 species
UCAAGAGCAAUUGUCUAAGUCACUCUGCAGGGCUCGGACGGUCCCAAAUCAUAAAAGCCACAGUUAACUACGUGCCAGGCAGCCGCGGUAAUACGUAGGUGGCAAGCGUUAUCCGGAAUUAUUGGGCGUAAAGCGCGCGUAGGCGGUUUUUUAAGUCUGAUGUGAAAGCCCACGGCUCAACCGUGGAGGGUCAUUGGAAACUGGAAAACUUGAGUGCAGAAGAGGAAAGUGGAAUUCCAUGUGUAGCGGUGAAAUGCGCAGAGAUAUGGAGGAACACCAGUGGCGAAGGCGACUUUCUGGUCUGUAACUGACGCUGAUGUGCGAAAGCGUGGGGAUCAAACAGGAUUAGAUACCCUGGUAGUCCACGCCGUAAACGAUGAGUGCUAAGUGUUAGGGGGUUUCCGCCCCUUAGUGCUGCAGCUAACGCAUUAAGCACUCCGCCUGGGGAGUACGACCGCAAGGUUGAAACUCAAA